rnacentral:tRNA from 1 species
UCCCUGGCGGUCCAGUGGCUAAGACUCUGUGUUCCCAAUGCAGGGGCCUGGGUUCCAUUCCUGGUCAGGGAA